rnacentral:rRNA from 1 species
AACGAACGCUGGCGGCAGGCUUAACACAUACAAGUCGAACGAGAUCUUCGGAUCUAGUGGCCGACGGGGGAGGAACACGUGGGAACAUCCCCUUCCGUUCGGAAUAACGUUAGGAAACUAACCCUAAGACCGGAUACGUCCUUCGGGAGUCAGAUUUAUCGCUGAAAGAUUGGCCCGCGUCUGAUUAGCUCGUUGGUGGGGUAAUGGCUCACCAAGGCUACGAUCAGUAGCUGAUCUGAGAGGAUGAUCAGCCACAUUGGGACUGAGAGACGGCCCAGACCGCGACGGGAGGCAGCAGUGGGGAAUGUUGGACAAUGGGCGCAAGCCUGAUCCAGCCAUGCCGGGUGAGUGAUGACGGCCUUCGGGUUGUAAAGCUCUUUUGUCCGGGAAGAUAAUGACAGUACCGGAAGAAUAAGCCCCGGCAAACUUCGUGCCAGCCGCCGCCGUAA